rnacentral:rRNA from 1 species
AGUGAACGCUGGCGGUAGGCCUGACACAUGCAAGUCGAACGGCAGCACAGUAAGAGCUUGCUCUUACGGGUGGCGAGUGGCGGGCGGGUGAGGAAUACAUCGGAAUCUACUUUUUCGUGGGGGAUAACGGAGGGAAACUUACGCUAAUACCGCAUACGACCUACGGGUGAAAGCAGGGGAGCUUCGGACCUUGGGCGAUUGAAUGAGCCGAUGUCGGAUUAGCUAGUUGGCGGGGUAAAGGCUCACCAAGGCGACGAUCCGUAGCUGAUCUGAGAGGAUGAUCAGCCACACUGGAACUGAGACACGGUCCAGACUCCUACGGGAGGCAGCAGUGGGGAAUCUUGGACAAUGGGCGCAAGCCUGAUCCAGCCAUACCGCGUGGGUGAAGAAGGCCUUCGGGUUGUAAAGCCCUUUUGUUGGGAAAGAACAGCAGCAGGUUAAUCCCCCGCUGUUCUGACGUUACCCAAAGAAUAAGCACCGGCUAACUUCGUG